AUUGAACGCUGGCGGCAGGCCUAACACAUGCAAGUCGAGCGGGGUUUUCGGACCUAGCGGCGGACGGGUGAGUAAUGCGUAGGAAGCUACCCGAUAGAGGGGGAUACCAGUUGGAAACGACUGUUAAUACCGCAUAAUGUCUACGGACCAAAGUGUGGGACCUUCGGGCCACAUGCUAUCGGAUGCGCCUACGUGGGAUUAGCUAGUUGGUGGGGUAAUGGCUCACCAAGGCGACGAUCCCUAGCUGGUUUGAGAGGAUGAUCAGCCACACUGGAACUGGGACACGGUCCAGACUCCUACGGGAGGCAGCAGUGGGGAAUAGUGGACAAUGGGCGCAAGCCUGAUCCAGCCAUGCCGCGUGUGUGAAGAAGGCCUUCGGGUUGUAAAGCACUUUCAGUAGGGAGGAAGCGUUGUGUGUUAAUAGUACACAGCGUUGACGUUACCUACAGAAGAAGCACCGGCUAACUCUGUGCCAGCCGCCGCUGUAACAC
rnacentral:rRNA from 1 species